GAAGGGGGCAAGCGUUGUUCGGAAUUACUGGGCGUAAAGGGGGUGUAGGCGGUUAUGUAAGAUAGCGGUGAAAUGACGGGGCUCAACCUCGGAAUUGCCGUUAUAACUAUGUAACUAGAAUGAUAGAGAGGAUAGCGGAAUACCCAGUGUAGAGGUGAAAUUCGUAGAUAUUGGGUAGAACACCGGUGGCGAAGGCGGCUAUCUGGCUAUANAUUGACGCUGAGGCUCGAAAGCAUGGGGAUCAAACAGGAUUAGAUACCCUGGUAGUCCAUGCUGUAAACGAUGAAUGCUGGUUGUCGGACUGAUGUUCGGUGACGAAGUUAACGCGAUAAGCAUUCCGCCUGGGGAGU
rnacentral:rRNA from 1 species